ACGAUAGAGGGAGGUGGAAUUCCGGGUGUAGUGGUGAAAUGCGCAGAUAUCCGGAGGAACACCAGUGGCGAAGGCGGCCUCCUGGCUCGUUCCUGACGCUAAGACACGAAAGCUAGGGUAGCAAACGGGAUUAGAGACCCCGGUAGUCCUAGCCGUAAACGAUGUAGACUUGGUGUUGGUGGCCUUAAAACCAUCAGUGCCGCAGCUAACGCGAUAAGUCUACCGCCUGGGGAUUACGACCGCAAGGUUAAAACUCAAAGGAAUUGACGGGUUCCCGCACAAGCAGCGGAGCGUGUGGUUUAAUUCGAUACUACGCGAAGAACCUUACCUGGGUUUGACAUAUUGGUGGUAGGGAGCCGAAAGGUGACCGACCCUUCGGGGAGCCAUUACAGGUGAUGCAUGGCUGUCGUCAGCUCGUGCCGUGAGGUGUCCGGUUAAGUCCGGUAACGAGCGCAACCCUCGCUGUAUGUUAUACGUGUCAUACGGGACUGCCGGUAUAAAGCCGGAGGAAGGCGAGGACGACGUCAAGUCAGCAUGUCCUUUAUAUCCAGGGCUACACACACGCUACAAUGGUCGAUACAAUAGGUUGCAAAACCGCGAGGUGGAGCCAAUCCUCAAAAUCGGCCUCAGUUCGGAUUGUAGGCUGCAACCCGCCUGCAUGAAGCUGGAGUUGCUAGUAAACGCGCGUCAGCACAGUGCGUUGAAUACGUUCCCGGGAAUUGUACACACCGCCCGUCACAUCAUGGAAGUCAGAAACGCUCGAAGUCAGUAUCCUAACUUUUACGAGAAGGAGCUGCCUAAGGCGGGGCUGGUAACUAGGAUGAAGUCGUAACAAGGUAGCC
rnacentral:rRNA from 1 species